CUAUGUGGUAGAAAAAUGCUUUUAUAGACUGGACCAGACUGAUGUGUAGCUGUGGAUAUGAUGUCUGAGUCAGUCACUAAUAAACAGGCUAACAAUAUUAACGUAUUCUGCAGAUUUAUGUCUCAGCUCAUAUUAUGUUACUAAUGCCUUAUAGCUUUAUGAUUCUGUGUAGUCAAGUUUGUUUAAGUCAAACCGGGACUUUUGAUUGAGAAGAAUAAAAGAACAGUUAUGAGAGUAAAAACUACCUUUCUUUUUCUAUAUAGUGCAUGCUAUACAAAUGCACUUGAAUAGGUGGAAAUGGAUUGGAGCAAGGUCAGGACUGUACGACAGAUGUGGCAAUCACUCCUAGCUGAGUUCCUGAAAUGGGCAAAGUGUGUUCAUGAAUGAUUGUCUGUACAGCUUCCGCGGACAGAGGCAUUUUUUCCACAAUGAAUGAGUUACAUGAGCGUGUUGCAUUUAUUGCGUGGCCGGAGAGGACUACUGAGGCAUGAGUUAUUUGGAGUGUCUGGCAGGCUCAACUAUCAUCUCCCAGUGCUCUUGCUACCAGUGAGUGGUGGAGGCGAGAAUGUGCUACCUGCUGCAUGCUGUGCAUGGAUUGCUGCAGGAAGUUGAGCUGGUGCUCAUGACUGUGCUCCUCUUCAGGGUGCUGCAUUUUUCCCUGCUCCUUUU